ensembl:lncRNA
UUUUUUUCCUUUUCUCUCUUUCUUAAUUUUAUUUCUGGAUUUAAAAUAAAGAAGGGACCAUUUGGAUCCUUUGAUUUGAUCUCCACAACAAACAUCACAGGCCCUGGCUUCUAUUGAGGAAUCAAUUGCAACAUCCUCUUCAUAUCUUCUGCAUUUACUCAUACAAAUCACCCUACUCACCUAACUAUAGUCCCCCUUGGUCCUAGCUCAGUGCAUCUCCUUGGUACAUCUGCACUGCUACAACCAAAACUCAUUCCUCCCUUUCUUCUUGCACCAUACGAAGAGCUCCACCAAGCUCCAUCUUUGCUCCUUUUAAACUUCAUUAAGCCUAUUUCAUUUCUAGCCUUUAAUCUAAAUCCUCUUCCCUAAACAUCCAGUUUCACCAAUAUAAUCUGGCUAAUAGUAGAUCCAGUACAGGACUCUCUAACAAAGAUCCCAAGAGCUGUUACAUCGAAGUUCUAAAGCCAGACAUGUUAUUCCAAGCACUUGAGUGCAACCAGGCAAGCCAGACUCAGCUUUUUCCCUGAUGGAUCUUCUUAUCAGUUCACCCCCUUUUAAAGGUGCCUUAUUAACCUCACCCCAAUGUCAAACAGAUAAUCUCAGGUACUGACUUACUGUAAAAUUUAUAUAUAGUACCUACCCUAAUAUUACCUAAUAGGAACAUGCAGUUAUUUUCUCACCUGCCUUAAGCUUCCUGCCAGUCUCCCCAUCUUUCACAGGAGCACAAUUCAUUCCAACAGGCAUUAACCAUGUGUUCUCUAAAUUUAACCUGAGCUGAACAGAACCCACAGCUGUAUUUGCAUUCAUGAACAGCACUGCAACAUGAGUAACAAAGCAAGAACAAGAGAACAGGAGGUAACUGGCUCUCAGGAUCAAGCCAGUUAUCUCUUUAAUAGACCUUUAAAGACUUGUCGGUGGGUUUGAGAUUUUUUUUUUUUAGUUUUAUUUUCCCUUGCCAGGAGUGUAGUCUUGUUAAUUUCAUUUAAUUUUGUUAAUUUUCUUCACCUUUAAAGGUGAAACUCAAAUUUACCUCUGUUCUGAUUUGAAUUUUCUCCAGCUUACAGAAGACAAGUUUUCAUUAAAGAAGCUAGGCUUGCACUCCUAUUCCUUGUGCUCUAGAUUGAGCAUGUUUCAGUACUCAGUGUGCCCAGCUCUUGUCAAUGAUCAAACCAAAACUUUGCUGCAGUGCCUGUUCCUGAGGAAGACCCUGUGAGGCAGGCUUAUGAAUGAAUCCUACUGAGACCAACAGUUCCUUGUGUCUUAGAAAACUGCCUUUAAAAGGGAAAGAAGUCACAUUUCCCACCUGCAGAGCCUUGCUCUACUGAUUUGAUCACAUGAGUAAGCUAGAUGGACCAGCUGGGGAUUCCCACAUGAACAUCUCUAAUCUUAGGCAGGCCAGACACAUGACCUAGCACUGAAAUGAAAGCCCAGGGCAGCAAGCUGCCACCUGACAUCAUGCACUGCUGGAGGGGAAGUGUUUCUGCUUCACCAGUGUACUGUGACAGAAGAAACACAGCUUAAACUCUUCACUUCUCAUCACCUGGUCCAUGAGCAGUACUGGGAAAUGUCAGACAAGCAUCCGACCUGGGCACACCAGCCUCUGCACCAAAGGGGCCCUGGGGCACAACAGACCCAUCCCUUCUCCCAUCUCCUUCACAGCUUGUGGUCCUGCAUCCCCAAACUCUGCUAUAUACAGAUUCACUAAUGCCACAUGUAGAUGUGCACAGGCUGAAUACAACUGUCUCAGGUAAUACAAAUAGCCUGGUAAGCACUCACAGAUUUAAGCAGCCUGCAAAGGGAUUUUUUAGUGCAAGAAAAAUAACAUUUUCUUGUAAAAACUUCAUUGACAAAAAAAAAAAAA